rnacentral:rRNA from 1 species
AAAGUCCCCUUCGGGGGAUAAGUAAAGUGGCGCACGGGUGAGUAACACGUAGGUAAUCUACCUUCGGGUGGGGAAUAACCCAGGGAAACUUGGGCUAACACCGCAUAAUGCAGCGGCACCACAUGGUGACAGUUGUUAAAGCGGGGGAUUUUCGGACCUCGCGCCUGAAGAGGAGCCUGCGGCGGAUUAGCUAGUUGGUAAGGUAACGGCUUACCAAGGCGACGAUCCGUAGCCGGCCUGAGAGGGCGGUCGGCCACACUGACACUGACAUACGGGUCAGACUCCUACGGGAGGCAGCAGUCGGGAAUUUUGGGCAAUGGGCGAAAGCCUGACCCAGCAACGCCGCGUGAAGGAUGAAAUCCCUCGGGAUGUAAACUUCGCAAGAAUGGGAAGAAUUAGCGAGCGCUAAUACCGCUCGUGAUGACGGUACCAUUUGUAAGCUCCGGCUAACUCCGUGCCAGCAGCCGCGGUAAUACGGGGGGAGCAAGCGUUGCUCGGAUUUACUGGGCGUAAAGGGCGCGUAGGCGGUCAGCACAAGUCAGUUGUGAAAUCUCCGGGCUUAACUCGGAAAGGUCAACUGAUACUGUGCGACUAGAGUGCGGAAGGGGCAACUGGAAUUCUCGGUGUAGCGGUGAAAUGCGUAGAUAUCGAGAGGAACACCUGCGGCGAAGGCGGGUUGCUGGGCCGACACUGACGCUGAUGCGCGAAAGCCAGGGGAGCGAACGGGAUUAGAUACCCCGGUAGUCCUGGCCUUAAACGAUGGAUGCUUGGUGUCUGGGGUUUUAUAGUCCCCGGGUGCCGUAGCUAACGCGUUAAGCAUCCCGCCUGGGGAGUACGGUCGCAAGACUGAAACUC